UACGAAGGGGGCUAGCGUUGUUCGGAAUUACUGGGCGUAAAGGGCGCGUAGGCGGUUGCUCAAGUCAGGCGUGAAAGCCCCGGGCUCAACCUGGGAAUAGCGCUUGAGACUGGGCGGCUUGAGUUCGGGAGAGGUGAGUGGAAUUCCCAGUGUAGAGGUGAAAUUCGUAGAUAUUGGGAAGAACACCGGUGGCGAAGGCGGCAUCCUGGACCGGCAUUGACGCUGAUGAGCGAAAGCCAGGGGAGCAAACGGG
rnacentral:rRNA from 1 species